AAAUAAGUAUUCCAGAGCCAGAGUUUGGGUAGUUGGGUCCCCAAAUUCAUUCUUUUAUACCUCAGAACCUUCCUGCCUCCCAUCAUUUCCUUACAUCCUCUUCCGAAUGUCACACUUCCUGCCUCUUUGCCUUUCCUUUCCUCCGACUCUACUGAAAUUUUUAUCUCCAAUAUCACAAGCUCAUCACCAAAUGCAAUCAUCACCACCCUCUAAAAUCUGCCGUGUCACUGUGCUUCACCCACUCACCCCUGCUUAAACUAUUUUAGUAGCUUUUCAUUGCGCUUGGUCGAGAUCAAAAUCCUUUUUGCUCACCCUGUGAAAAGCACAUGGACCAGUAUGUAUCAUCCUCAACAGAUAAGAGCUGUUUGAAUCACACAUGGGUGCCUUUCAUCAUUAUUAAUCCUCCUUGGCCACUUGGGGCAGCUGUCACAGUCGACCGUCCCUUUCCCUGGCUCCCUGACACAUCACUCCUGCUUUCCCCCGUCUUUUGAGAGGGGGAGCAGGGCAGGGAGCUGGACAAAUUGGACAUGCAUAGGUUUGGGGUCUUGGCCUGGCAUUGAGGGCUGAGUCCCCACAAUGUGGCAGUAAUUAUGCUAUGACUCCCUAGGUUGUCAGCACUGGAGACUUAUUUCAUCCCCAAGGAUGGCAGCCUCGCUUCUUACAGGGAAUAC
rnacentral:lncRNA from 1 species